AAUUCGCACAUUCAUCAGCAUAAACAACUCAAAACUUGAAUCAAACUACAAAGUUUUCCAAAAUAAGUUUCUAAUUCACGAAAUUUUCUACACACAUUCAUCAUGAAAUUUACACUUGCCAUUAUUGCCGUUUUCACCAUUGCUGCGCUUUCCUACGCCACCCCAGUGGAAGAAGGGUCACAAACUGGAUACGACGCCAUGAAAAUCCUUGUACCGGAACCCAAGGGUCGUGGACCAUGUCGCAUUACUGGAGAGGGGUGUGGACCCUGUUCUGGGGGAAGUUGUCCCUGCGGAGGUCCUGGUCAACGGGAAUGCUGCUGCAGUCACGUGUGCAACUCACAUGACGGUGUGUGGGGGUGGUGUACAUAAAUAAUUAUCAUGCCCUCAGAACAAUUUUAUCCUCCAAUCCCCCCUUAUUUAAAUUUUUCUUAAUUCUACUUUAAAAUAAUUUAUGGAAAGGUUAUACUAAAAAUUCAAAUAAUAAAAAUGUUAAAUUUUAUCAUUA